rnacentral:rRNA from 1 species
UUGACGCUGGCGGCAGGCUUAAUACAUGCAAGUCGAGCGGAGAGAGGUAGCUUGCUACUGAUCUUAGCGGCGGACGGGUGAGUAAUGCUUAGGAAUCUGCCUAUUAGUGGGGGACAACAUUUCGAAAGGAAUGCUAAUACCGCAUACGUCCUACGGGAGAAAGCAGGGGAUCUUCGGACCUUGCGCUAAUAGAUGAGCCUAAGUCGGAUUAGCUAGUUGGUGGGGUAAAGGCCUACCAAGGCGACGAUCUGUAGCGGGUCUGAGAGGAUGAUCCGCCACACUGGGACUGAGACACGGCCCAGACUCCUACGGGAGGCAGCAGUGGGGAAUAUUGGACAAUGGGCGCAAGCCUGAUCCAGCCAUGCCGCGUGUGUGAAGAAGGCCUUAUGGUUGUAAAGCACUUUAAGCGAGGAGGAGGCUACUUUAGUUAAUACCUAGAGAUAGUGGACGUUACUCGCAGAAUAAGCACCGGCUAACUCUUGUGCCAGCAGCCGCGGUAAUACAGAGGGUGCAAGCGUUAAUCGGAUUUACUGGGCGUAAAGCGCGCCGUAGGCGGCUAA